GAUGAACGCUGGCGGCGUGCCUAAUACAUGCAAGUCGAGCGAACGGACGAGAAGCUUGCUUCUCUGAUGUUAGCGGCGGACGGGUGAGUAACACGUGGAUAACCUACCUAUAAGACUGGGAUAACUUCGGGAAACCGGAGCUAAUACCGGAUAAUAUUUUGAACCGCAUGGUUCAAAAGUGAAAGACGGUCUUGCUGUCACUUAUAGAUGGAUCCGCGCUGCAUUAGCUAGUUGGUAAGGUAACGGCUUACCAAGGCAACGAUGCAUAGCCGACCUGAGAGAGUGAUCGGCCACACUGGAACUGAGACACGGUCCAGACUCCUAAGGGAGGCAGCAGUAGGGAAUCUUCCGCAAUGGGCGAAAGCCUGACGGAGCAACGCCGCGUGAGUGAUGAAGGUCUUCGGAUCGUAAAACUCUGUUAUUAGGGAAGAACAUAUGUGUAAGUAACUGUGCACAUCUUGACGGUACCUAAUAAGAAAGCCACGGCUAACUACGUG
rnacentral:rRNA from 1 species